GUGCCAGCCGCCGCGGUAAUACGGAGGGUGCGAGCGUUAAUCGGAAUUACUGGGCGUAAAGCGCAUGCAGGUGGUCUGUUAAGUCAGAUGUGAAAGCCCGGGGCUUAACCUCCGAAUAGCAUUUGAAACUGGCAGGCUAGAGUACCGUAGAGGGGGGUAGAAUUUCAGGUGUAGCGGUGAAAUGCGUAGAGAUCUGAAGGAAUACCGGUGGCGGAGGCGGCGCCCUGGACAGAUACUGACACUCUGAUGCGAAAGCGUGGGCAGCAAACAGGAUUAGAUACCCGUGUAGUCC
rnacentral:rRNA from 1 species